UUCACUUGAUCGGAAAGCAUGGUACUCGCACUCGUCUUCAUAAUUGCGUCUCCUCUGGUUUCAAGUUAGCCUUUGAAAGCAUCGUUGCUGCUGAAGGCCUCAGUGCAGUGGAGCUGGUGAAGGGAUAGCUCGAUGGAAACAGAGAGGAGAGGAAUGACGAGACGGGCCUGAGGGACUUCAGCUCUGGCUGUUCCAACGCGACGUCGAUGUCUUUGAUAACGGUAACGGCUGUUUGUUCCCUAAGACCGUUGUUUAUGUCUACCUAAAAACCACCGGUCUGAUGCCAGGCCUGGGGGAGGGGGAUCUAAGCAGGACCGCAGUGAGGUGUCUGAGGGUCGCUCCCGGGAACCUGUGGGCCUGAACCUCCGACCGUUUAAAUGUGGGGGUGGGGGCGAUGUUAGAAUCCCCCAUAAUGAUAAGAGGCUUCCUAAUGGCCAGAGCCCACUGGGAGGCUAGGGGGGUACCAAUGGUUUGGUGAGGGGGGGGGGGGGGGGGGGGGGGGGGGGGUCCUGGGUUGAUCUUCAUUUGAUGGUCUAGAACAAAAGGAAGGAGGUGGAGAGGGGGAGGGGGGGAGGAGAGGGGGAGGGGAGGAGAGGGGGGGGGAGGAGAGGAGGAGAGGGGGGGGGGGGAGAGGAGGAGAGGCUGGGGUCAGUGGGGGCCAUUGGACUAUGCCAGGUGAGCUAGGGAUCAAUACACGCUGGGUAAUGGUUCUGCUGGGGGCAUCUAAAACAGUGUUGGAGGGGGUGAGUGAGGGGGAGAAUGAACUCGGGCAGUAAAGGAGAACAGACACACACACACACACACACACACACACACACACACACACACACACACACACACACACACACACACACACA